ensembl:lncRNA
AAAAAAUAAAAGUUACGCAAUAAUUGAAUUUCCUUCGAAUAUGCUAAAGCGUUCUUUUAGUAAUACUUUGCCUUUAAGAAAAAUUACUUCAAGAAACUUAGAUAUACCAAAUAUUAUUGCUAAUGCUAGUGAUAACCGUGCCAGUGUUUAUUGGGACCGUACUCCCGAGAGCACAUGUACUAGCAAAUUCAACAAAUCGAUUAAAAACAAUAUAAAAAGAGAUUAUACACUAUUAUCAAAUAUACUAAAUGUUUAUUUUAUAUACACAGCCAUUCAUACAAAACCUAAGAAAAUACUAAAAAAUAAAAAUACAUUAAACUACGGUAGUUUAAAACAUAAAAACUUAUCAGAAAUUUACAAGAACAACACCAAAUUUCCCAAUGUUAACAGUAACCGUAGUACAUACUUGUUUGCUAACACUUGUAGAUUAUGUAACAAUACUAAUGAAUAUAUUAAUGACAAAAAAAAGAAUGGUAUUACUGAGGUUGCUCAACAUGGUAGAACAUGUGUCGAGUGUAGCUGUGGUAACAAUUUUAAUGCAGGGGGUGGAAGCAUUGACGUCGUAAAUAGUGAUAAUGGAAUUGGUAGUAGUAUUAGUGGCAACACCAGCAGUAGUAGUAGUAGUAGUAGUAGUAGUGGUGCCGUAAAUACUAAUAGCAUAAUCGGAAGUAGUAGUAGUGACAGCACCAGCAGUAGUAGUAGUAGUAGUGGCGCCGAUACAGAGAAAGUGCUCUACUUAGUGAACCCUAGGGGCUUUUGCAAAGGCGUCAGCAGAGCAAUCGAAACAGUAGAAGAAUGUCUAAAAAUGUUUAAAAAACCAGUUUAUGUAAAACAUAAAAUAGUACAUAAUGAUUUUGUCUGUGAAGAAUUAAAAAAUAAAGGAGCUAUUUUUAUUGAAGAUAUUAAUGAAGUGCCUGAUGGAAAUGUUUUAAUAUACUCUGCUCAUGGUAUUAGUCCACAAAUAAGAGAGCAAGCUAAAAAAAAAAAAUUAAUAGAAAUCGAUGCAACUUGCCCAUUAGUUAAUAAAGUACAUGUAUAUGUACAGUUAAAAGCAAAAGAAGGUUAUAAAAUUAUAUUAAUUGGUUAUAAAAACCAUGUAGAAAUAAUAGGAACAUAUAAUGAAGCACCACAUUGUACUUAUAUCGUAGAAAAUAUUAAUGAUGUUGAUAAAUUAGAUUUUAAAUAUAAUGAAAAAUUAUUCUAUGUAACACAAACAACUCUUAGUAUAGAUGAUUGUUAUCUAAUAGUACAAAAAAUAAAAAAAAAAUAUCCACAGGUUGAAACUAUACCUAGUGGCUCUAUAUGUUAUGCAACUACUAACAGACAAACAGCUCUAAAUAAAAUCUGUAUAUAUUGUGAUUUAACAAUAGUAGUUGGUAGUAAUUCAUCAUCUAAUGCAAAAAAAUUAGUUUAUUCCUCAGAAUCUAGAAACACACCUGCUAUUUUAGUAAACGAUAUUCACAGUUUUGAUACUAAUAUUAUUAAAAAUAAAAAGGCUGUAGCUUUAACAUCAGCUGCUUCAACACCUGAACACUUAACUCAACAAUUUGUUACUCUUUUGACUAGCCCACCAUUUAUGUAUAAUUUGAAAAUUGUCAAUGAUAUUAAAGAGGUAGUACCCAAAUGGAAACUACCCAAAAAUCUGUUAAACAUGAUCAAAGAUAAUGAUAAAGCUGAGAACA